AGAGAGAGAGAGAGAGAGAGCGGGGAGCUCCAACGGCUAUAAGAACUAAAAAAUGAAAGGGAGAGGAGAGCAGAGUGAAGAGAAAUCAAAGUAAAAAUUAAUGGAGGGCAGUUAGGGUUCCUGAGGAGUCAAUCUUCAAAGUGGUAUCUUUAGCAGUAAGCCGUUGGGAAAAUUAAUCAGAAGUUUGAAGGCAUAGCUGUU
rnacentral:misc_RNA from 1 species